rnacentral:rRNA from 1 species
UACGAAGGGGGCGAGCGUUGCUCGGAAUCACUGGGCGUAAAGGGUGCGUAGGCGGGUUUUUAAGUCAGGGGUGAAAUCCUGGAGCUCAACUCCAGAACUGCCUUUGAUACUGAAGAUCUUGAGUUCGGGAGAGGUGAGUGGAACUGCGAGUGUAGAGGUGAAAUUCGUAGAUAUUCGCAAGAACACCAGUGGCGAAGGCGGCUCACUGGCCCGAUACUGACGCUGAGGCACGAAAGCGUGGGGAGCAAACAGG